GACGAACGCUGGCGGCGUGCUUAACACAUGCAAGUCGAACGGAAAGGCCCUGCUUUUGUGGGGUGCUCGAGUGGCGAACGGGUGAGUAACACGUGAGUAACCUGCCCUUGACUUUGGGAUAACUUCAGGAAACUGGGGCUAAUACCGGAUAGGAGCUCCUGCUGCAUGGUGGGGGUUGGAAAGUUUCGGCGGUUGGGGAUGGACUCGCGGCUUAUCAGCUUGUUGGUGGGGUAGUGGCUUACCAAGGCUUUGACGGGUAGCCGGCCCGGGAGGGUGACCGGCCACAUUGGGACUGAGAUACGGCCCAGACUCCUACGGGAGGCAGCAGUGGGGAAUAUUGCACAAUGGGCGGAAGCCUGAUGCAGCAACGCCGCGUGCGGGAUGACGGCCUUCGGGUUGUAAACCGCUGUCGCCUGUGACGAAGCGUGAGUGACGGUAAUGAGUAAAGAAGCACCGGCUAACUACGUG
rnacentral:rRNA from 1 species